rnacentral:rRNA from 1 species
GGUGUCCUACGGGACGCAGCAGUCGGGAAUAUUGCACAAUGGAGGAAACUCUGAUGCAGUGACGCCGCGUGCAGGAAGAAGGUUUUCGGAUUGUAAACUGCUUUGGAUAGGGAAGAAAAAAGACAGUACCUAUAGAAUAAGCUCCGGCUAACUACGUGCCAGCAGCCGCGGUAAUACGUAGGGAGCAAGCGUUAUCCGGAUUUAUUGGGUGUAAAGGGUGCGUAGACGGGAAUUUAAGUUAGUUGUGAAAUCCCUCGGCUUAACUGAGGAACUGCAACUAAAACUGAAUUUCUUGAGUGCGGGAG